rnacentral:rRNA from 1 species
GAUGAACGCUGGCGGCGUGCCUAAUACAUGCAAGUCGAGCGGUAAGGCCCCUUCGGGGGUACACGAGCGGCGGACGGCUGAGUAACACGUAGGAACGUACCCCAAACUGAGGGAUAAGCACCAGAAAUGGUGUCUAAUACCGCAUGUGCUCUUCGGAGUAAAGCUACGGCGGUUUGGGAACGGCCUGCGUCUGAUUAGAUAGUUGGUGAGGUAAUGGCUCACCAAGUCGACGAUCAGUAGCUGGUCUGAGAGGAUGAUCAGCCAGACUGGGACUGAGAACGGCCCAGACUCCUACGGGAGGCAGCAGUAGGGAAUUUUCCACAAUGGGCGAAAGCCUGAUGGAGCAACGCCGCGUGCAGGAUGAAUGCCUUAGGGUUGUAAACUGCUUUUAUUAGUGACGAUUAUGACGGUAACUAAUGAAUAAGGACCUGCUAACUACGUGCCAGCCGCCGCGGUAA